UUACUGUUGCAGCAGUAAGUACUAGAAUUUUCAGAUUUUUUGUUUCUUUUGUUCUUUUGCAUUUGAUGGACUUUCUUGUGAUCGUUUUAGUACUCAAUUUUCGGUUUAACAAUGAUGAUUGGAGGAAUGAUUGGUGCAUUAGUAAAUGGGACGCUAAAAGAGAUGUAGUGGUUAUUGUCUAAUAAUCCAGGUUGUCGGUUUUUACCACUUUCAAAGAAAUUCAUUUCCAUUAUCAAGCCAAGGAAGUCAUGCACACUACCUGUUUGAUGAAAGUUCCAGUCGUAGCUCUUCGAGAUAUUUACAAGACCCUGAACCAACUGCCACAAUUGAGGCACUGGAGCAUAAUUGUCGUCUCUUCUGCUGUUUUGAAAUCAUGAAUGAUGAAUUUGAUUUACAGAGCAUGAAAAUGUUGAAAGUAAGAGCUGCCCUUGAGGAAAAAUUGAAGCAGAAGGGUAUCUUCAAUUCCAUCACUCCAAGAACUGAUAGACCCCAGAAACAUCUGAAACCAUUAAAUGGGAAGCUGAAUCGUAUGAUGAUUUUGAUGAUGACCCUGUAAAUGUUGAAGGCGCUAACCAGGCUCAUGCAAGUUCAUUGGGUGCAAGUAAAGUUUCCCAAUUUGUUGCUGCUAAUCGACAUAAGU